rnacentral:rRNA from 1 species
UACGUAGGCAGCGAGCGUUGUUCGGAGUUACUGGGCGUAAAGGGUGUGUAGGCGGUUGUUUAAGUUUGGUGUGAAAUCUCCCGGCUCAACUGGGAGGGUGCGCCGAAUACUGAAUGACUUCGAGUGCGGGAGAGGAGAGUGGAAUUCCUGGUGUAGCGGUGAAAUGCGUAGAUAUCAGGAGGAACACCGGUGGUGUAGACGGCUCUCUGGACCGUAACUGACGCUGAGACACAAAAGCGUGGGUAGCAAACAGG